rnacentral:rRNA from 1 species
UACGAGGGGGGCAAUUGUUGUUCGGAAUCACUGGGCGUAAAGGGAGCGUAGGCGGGUUUUUAAGUCAGGUGUUUAAUCCCGGGGCCCAACCCCGGACAGGCACUUGAAACUGGGAAUCUUGAAUAGUGGAGAGGUCGGUGGAAUUGGGGGUGUAGCGGUGGAAUGCGUAGAGAUCCCCAAGAACACCCGUUGCGAAGGCGGCCGACUGGACACAUAUUGACGCUGAGGCUCGAAAGCAUGGGGAGCAAACAGG